UUCCUACGGGGGGCUGCAGUGGGGAAUAUUGGACAAUGGGCGCAAGCCUGAUCCAGCCAUGCCGCGUGAGUGAUGAAGGCCUUAGGGUUGUAAAGCUCUUUUGUCCGGGAAGAUAAUGACUGUACCGGAAGAAUAAGCCCCGGCUAACUUCGUGCCAGCAGCCGCGGUAAUACGAAGGGGGCUAGCGUUGCUCGGAAUCACUGGGCGGAAAGGGCGCGUAGGCGGACUCUUAAGUCGGGGGUGAAAGCCCAGGGCUCAACCCUGGAAUUGCCUUCGAUACUGGGAGUCUUGAGUUCGGAAGAGGUUGGUGGAACUGCGAGUGUAGAGGUGAAAUUCGUAGAUAUUCGCAAGAACACCGGUGGCGAAGGCGGCCAACUGGUCCGAAACUGACGCUGAGGCGCGAAAGCGUGGGGAGCAAACAGGAUUAGAUACCCGAGUAGUCAA
rnacentral:rRNA from 2 species